GUGCUGUGCAUGCUCACCUGUACCUGUCCAGUUCAUCCCUUUCACUAUCCUGGGGUUCACUGUAAUAUGGGUGAUGGUCCAUGUUUUCCUGCAUUCCACUUCCUGUCCCUCCUCUCUGAAUGAUGAGAACGGGGAACUGGGAGGAGGAUCAGCUGGGUCACACAAACACUCUUUAACUGGACUCUGAGAAUGAAGCUGAGGCUGCUGUUUGUGGUUCUCCUGCAUGUUUCCCAGCAUGCCUCAGGUGUGGAGGUGUAUGAGGGGGUGGAUUCUGUCCUGCUGCCCUGUCAGGUAGCAAAGAAUGUUUCCAGCGACACCACAGCAGCAGUGUGGGACCGUGAUGAAUUCAAGAAGCCAACAGUCCACGUGCGUCUGCAGAGCGGAGAUGAUCUUAAAGAACAAAACAAUCGUUACUCCAACCGAACAUCAAUGAGAGCCGACGCCCUGCAGACUGGAGACCUCAGCCUCAUUCUGAGGAACCCUACAGUCUCUGACAGUGGAACCUACACCUGCACCAGCCGGAAGUAUGGACGAGAUCUGAGGCGGACAGAAGUACACCUGAGGGUCAAAGAACCUCCACUCUGGCCCAGAGUCCUCGCAGGUGCCCUGGUUCUCCUGGUUGCCCUGAUUGUUGCCUUUGGCGUCAUCCUGUAUUGUGAACAUAAAAGGUUUAAGACUGUAGAAGCUCAACUUGUCAGUAACCCAAGUCAGACAGGGCUUCGCUGGCCAUUUGGACAAAGAUGACUCCUUUCCUUCGGUGGGAAAUCGAAGAGUUUGAGGGUUCUGUUGGUCCAAAUGAAGAAUGUUUCUGCUGCUCAGUGAAGCUCAGUGAUGGUGUGAGAACACAAGCUUGAAGAUGUUUGUUCUUCCUUUACUAAUUGCUAACUAAUGAGCCUCAGUGAGAUGUUCUACCUGGAACAUGUUUCACACAGCAGGUUCCCUGUAAUGUUAUGUCUGCAGAAUGAGAUUAAGCACAGAGGACAGAGUGUGAGAGGAAGAGGAAGCCAGUUCACCAGUCUGACAGUAAAGAUUCAUUCAAAUAUUCACACCAGGCUGAGACUGAGUGGACACUUCACAAGGAAAAUAUGAGCUCUGUGUUUUGUCUGAUACAAAAAUUCAGCAGUUUACAAAAUCAUGUCACAGGAUCUGUUAUUGAUGCUCAUCAAAAACUUUAGACCCAGGUUAUCUCACUGAGUUCUGAGCGAUAGUCCAGGAAUGUUGAUGCCAUUUUUCCAAAGAAAUGAUUGGUCAGGAGGAGGUGACUGUGAGAUGGAAACUCAGCUUAGAGGUUUUUGACCUGCUGUCUGGAACAGGACCCAGAUGUUUCUCUAACAUUAUAACCUCAUAAUGAUGAUAACGAUGAUGAUGCAGAGCGUGUUGUUCUUCAGACCAAAGCCACAGACUGUCAACCAUCAGAGCUUCAGACCAGAUCAGCUUUUUGAUUUUUAAUAAACUGCAGAGAAGAAGAGUAUGCUGUCAUGAUUAAAUAGGAAGUGGUCCCAAGGGACAGCAGACUGAAACGUGAUGAAUAGAAACUGACUUCAUGCAGCAAAUCCACAACAUAGAGGGAAAACUGAAGAUCAAAAAUUCAAACCACAGCAGCAACAACAGAAUCAGACCAAACAGCUCAGCCUAACAAAAAAUUGAGAGGAAAACGAGACACAGGAUCAAACUAAUGAGUCACAGGGGAACUAAACACAAUGGACAAACUACACAGGCUAUGAAAUCAAACACAUUAGUGUAACAGGAAAUGCAACCUCACUGGAUUUUAGUCACAGUGCAUUCAGUACAUUUGUUUAUCUAUCUGUGACGAUGACUCUGUGUGUGUGCUGCUCCGUGGACCGGCUCACUUUACUGUCUGCUUCAUCUUUACAUGAAACCUAUGUGCUCGUGAAUUCUGCUAUUUAAUUCUUUUUCAUUGCAUGUCUUUGAGAAAGAUGAUGGUGUCUGAGCUGUUUUUCAUCUUCAUCUUAGUAAUAACAGAUUUUCUGAGGGAUUCAGGUCAGGAGAGCUGGCCGCCCAACCAAACGCUGUAAUAAGCGUUUGGUUUAGUGUGUCUGUGAGCAGCUUUUUAAUAAAGACUUUGAAUGAAAA
ensembl:lncRNA